AAGGCGCGAAGAGAGUGAGAGAGAGCCACAAGAAUGGCGAAAUUGUGGGGCGUGCGAAGACUGCCACUUCCACAAACCAAAGGACACGAAGGCAGUGCUAAACGAACAAAGAAAAAAAAACAAAAGAAAGAGGCAAGCCAGUGACCAUUGUUGUUGGUUCUCAAAUUUGGGUUGAAAAUCCAGAAUUAGUUUGGAUUGACGGAGAAGUAAUAAAUAUUAAGGGAGAGGAUGCUGAAAUUCAAAUUAGUAAUGGGAAUAAGGUCGUUGCAAAGGUGUCAAAAAUAUAUCCAAAGGAUAUGGAUAUGCCUGCUGGUGGAGUUGAUGACAUGACUAAGCUAUCAUACUUGCAUGAACCUGGAGUUCUUUGUAAUUUGGCAACUAGAUAUGAGAGCAAUGAAAUUUAUACUUACACCGGAAACAUUCUCAUCGCCAUCAAUCCAUUCCAAAGUCUCUCACAUCUGUAUGAUACUGUUAUGAUGGAACGGUAUAAUGGAGUGCCAUUUGGAGAACUGGGUCCUCAUGUUUUUGCAAUAGCCGAUGCUGCAUACAGGGAAAUGAUUAAUGAGGGUAAAAGCAACUCUAUUCUGGUUAGUGGGGAAAGCGGAGCUGGUAAGACUGAAACAACUAAAAUGCUUAUGCGCUACCUUGCCUAUUUGGGCGGAAAUGCUGCAGCUGAAGGACGGACUGUUGAACAACAAGUUUUAGAAUCAAAUCCAGUUCUUGAAGCCUUUGGUAACGCUAAAACUGUUAAGAAUAACAAUUCCAGCCGCUUUGGGAAAUUUGUUGAGAUUCAAUUUGAUAAACGUGGUAGAAUAUCGGGGGCAGCCAUCAGAACUUAUCUCUUAGAGCGAUCUCGUGUUUGCCAAAUUUCUGAUUUAGAGCGUAACUAUCACUGUUUUUAUCUCCUUUGUGCUGCUCCGGAACAGGAAAAAGAGAAGUAUAAGUUGGGAGAUCCUAAGUCAUAUCACUAUCUUAAUCAAUCAAAUUGCUAUCAACUGGAUGGUAUAAGUGAUGAACAUAAUUAUCUCUCCACAAGGAGAGCCAUGGAUGUUGUUGGAAUAAGUGUAGUAGAACAGGAGGCUAUUUUCAGUGUUGUUGCUGCAAUUCUUCAUCUUGGUAAUAUUGAUUUUGCCAAUGGGGAAGAUAAUGAUUCAUCUGUUCUGAAAAAUGAUGAAUCCCUUUUUCAUCUUCAAAUGACAGCAGAACUUCUAAUGUGUAAUCCUCGUGCACUGGAAGAUGCACUGUGUAAGCGUGUAAUGGUUACUCCUGAAGAAAUUAUUAAAAGAAGUCUUGAUCCCCAUGGCGCAACAGUUAGCAGAGAUGGUUUGGCCAAGACUAUAUACUCUCGUUUGUUUGACUGGUUGGUGGAUAAAAUCAAUGUCUCAAUUGGACAAGACCCUAGCUCAAAAUGUCUGAUCGGGGUCCUUGAUAUAUAUGGUUUUGAAAGCUUUAAAACUAACAGUUUUGAGCAGUUCUGUAUUAAUUACACUAAUGAAAAGCUGCAACAACAUUUCAACAAGCAUGUAUUCAAGUCGGAACAAGAGGAGUACACUAGAGAGGAAAUUGAUUGGAGCUACAUAGAAUUUGUUGAUAAUAAAGAUGUCCUGGAUCUCAUUGAACAGAAAAAAGGUGGAAUUAUUGCUCUGCUUGAUGAAGCUUGCAUGUUUCCAAAAUCAACUCAUGACACAUUUUCACAAAAGCUGUAUCAGACAUUCAAAGAUAACAAACGCUUCAUCAAGCCAAAACUGACCCGCUCAGAUUUCACCAUUGUUCAUUAUGCAGGAGAGGUACAAUAUCAGUCUGAUCAAUUUCUAGACAAAAAUAAAGACUAUAUUGUUCCAGAGCAUCGAGAUUUGUUGAGUGCCUCAAAAUGCUCUUUCGUAGCAGGCCUUUUCCCUUCGCUUACUGAGGAGGCGGCCAAAUCUUCCAAGUUCUCAUCUAUCAGUUCUCGUUUUAAGCAACAACUCCAACACUUGAUGGAAACACUAAAUGCUACAGAACCCCAUUACAUUAGAUGUAUAAAGCCAAAUAAUGUCCUAAAGCCUGCAAUAUUUGAGAAUAUCAAUGUCGUGCAACAACUACAUUCUGGUGGUGUUUUAGAGGCAGUCCGAAUAAAAUGUGCAGGAUACCCUACUUACAGGAAUUUUUUUCAAUUUUUAACUCGAUUUCGUAUCCUGGCCCCUGAGGUUCUAAAAAUGGACUUUCCUGAAAACGAAGCCUGCGAAAAGAUUCUGGAGAAGAUGGGGCUUAAAGAUUAUCAGAUAGGGAAAACAAUGGUUUUCCUAAGAGCUGGUCAGAUGGCUGAGCUAGAUGCAAAGAGAACACUCAUGCUUGGCGACUCAGCUAAUGUGAUUCAAAGGCGAGGCCGAACUCGUAUUACUCGUAGAAAGUAUGUUUCUAUACGGGAGGCUUCUAUUUGUGUACAAUCAUUUUGCAGAGGAGAAUUGGCUCGCAAGUUAUAUAAGCUCAAGAAGCGGGUGAAUGCUGUAGUUAAAAUUCAGAAGACUGCACGUAAACGCCUGGCGAGAAAAGACUAUGUCAAAAUAUUGUUCUCUUCAGUUGUCUUACAGACUAGUUUACGGGCAAUGGUUGCUCGUGAUGAACUUAGAUAUAGGGUUAAGGUUGCAAUUAUUAUUCAGACAGGUUUACGCGCAAUGGCUGCUCGUGAUGCUUUUAGAUAUAGAGUUAAUGCGGCAGUUAUUAUUCAGACAGGUUUACGAGCAAUGGCUGCUCGUGAUGCUUUUAGAUGUAGAAUGCAAUCUAAGCCGAGAGUUAUUGUUCAGACUGACUUGGGAAAAGCAGAAGGAGAAGAGGCAACAAAGUUGGAGUCCUCUGUGGAAGCUAAUGUAAGCAAAGUUAAUGAAACAAAUGUGUUGUUUGAAUGUCUCGUUAUACAGACUGAAUUGGAAAAGGCAAAAGGAGUGGAAGCAACAAAGUUGGAGUCCUCCGUGCAAAGUAAUGUAAUCAAAGUUGGUGAAACAGACGUGUCAUCUAAAAUUCUGGUUUCACAGAUAGAAAUUGAAGAUAUUACCAAAGAAAUCCCAAGUCCUGAAAAAAAUGCUGAAAAGAUCAAAAUUCUUACUGCAGAAGUUGAAAAUCUGAAGGCCAUGCUGCAAGCAGAAAAACAAAGAGCCAAUGAGUGUGAAAGGAGAUACGUAGAAGCUCGGGUAUCAAGUGAGGAAGGACGUAAAAAGUUAGAGGAAACUGAAAGAAUAGUACAUCAACUUCAGGACUCUUUGAACAGGAUGAUAUAUUGCAUGUCAAACCAAGUUUCGGAACUGAAAACAAUCUUAUCUACCGCAUCCAAAUCAAGUUCAACAACUGCAGGACCUUUUGUUAGACACGAAGGGUCCGAAAGCAUUUCCAGUAACUCUGAAUGUUCAUCCACUGACUCAGAUUUUACUUUUCCAGCUCCAACUCCAACCUCAGCUAACUUUUCUCCCCCCUGCACCAAUUCUCUCAAGCUCAUAGUUCAGGACAUUUCAGCCGGAGAUGUUUCAGGAUCUGAAAGUGAGAAGGAGGGGGGGGCUUUUGAUGACUUCUUCUGACGGAGCCUGUUCUAAUUAUUUUUCUUCUUUCUUGCUUAGAUAUGGGUCUCUCAUAAAACGUCAGACUUUUGGCACUGUAUAUAGGACACCAGACUUGAACAUAUCGUCCCGUAUGCUUCAUACAGGAUCAUAGAUCGACAAAUUUCUCUCAGGAAGCUGUAGAUCAUUUAGUCAGACUGUACUUUUUAUCUUGUUGACCUCCAUCUCAACUUGAGAACACAAAAGACCACUUAACAAGAAGCAGCAAGCUAAUGAGGAGUUCGUCAUCAAUGUAUUGCCCAAGGGCAGAAGUAUUUGCUGCCUUAGUUUUUCGUUUUCUGUUUUUUUUUUUUUUUUUUUUUUUUUGGUCUUUCUUACUUUAGCAUUUUAGUCAUGAAUCAGACAACGUGGCCUUUAGCUA